GCCCUAGGCAGGUGUGAUCAUAACAGGUAGAACUGGUUUCUUGUUACCCUUAGGUUCAGUGUGGCGCAAAUAGUUGCAUGUUAAGAAGCCUGUGGUGUGGAAAGAUAUGCAUGCUGCUCCUGAAUAACCUUCCCCUGCAAGCAUGAACCACGGAUUCAUAAUAUUAGUGGCAGCUCUAUGCCUGCGUCACGCACGGGCCAUGACCUCUACUGAGGUUCCUACAAUUAACUUAACAAAUGCUUGGACCACCACAGUACUAGAGGUCGGUGAACUUUCAAACCCUCAGCCAUUCAUGGAGACAACAAAAGAAUGGGACAAACAAACAACUCCACAACUGAGUGCCACAUCAACAGGGAUUAAGGGAAGCUUAAGUGAAAAUAUAGACGCCGGCGAUGAGACAAAUAUUGCUUCUUCUGUCCUCAUGGAACCAUCGUCUCUUGCUCCCACAUUAAGAUCACGCGCUUAGUAAAUUUAUGCAUGAGCACAACACAAAGAACAACAGUAUUUUCUUCAUCGCCACACAGACCAUCACAAACUACAGUUGUAUCCAGACAAACAGCCUCUUCAGCUAGGGCUCCACUAACUGCAACAACCACACCACUUAUGACAGAAACAUUCACAUCGAAAACUGUGUCCACAUCAGUACAAACACAAUCUAUUCCUCCCACAAUGGAAUCAUCCACAACAACAACAACAACGACACAUAGUACAGGAUCUAUUGCAUCAUCAACUCAAAAACCAACACAAAUUACAGAUGUAUCCAGACAAACAGCAUCUUCAGCUAUGGCUCCACCAUCUGCAACAACCACAUCAGAUACUUCACAAACAUCAAAAUCAGUCACAACAGAACCAACAACAGCUGCAACACAACCUGCUGAAUCAACAGCACUUUCCAGCACUUUGACACAUAGUGGAUCAGUGACUACAAGAACACAAACUACACAACCUAUGACAACAGCAUUCACAACACAAACUAGGUCAACAAUCGUACCAACAGAAUCUAUAACGCCCACAAUAGAAUCAUCAACAACUCCAACACAAAGUACAGCCAUUUCUGUUUCAUCACCACAAAAAACAACACAAACCCCAGUAGAAACAGUACAAACAACAUCUUUAGAAAAAGGUGCACCAUCAGUAGCAACUAAAUCAGUGACUUCACACACAUCUGGAUCAUUAACAACAGAGCAACCCACAGCUGCGCAACAAACUAACCAAUCGAUGGAAAUUCACAGCACAUCUGGUCCUAGUGGAUCAUUACCUACAUCCACAGGAACUACACCACUUAUCAUGGAAACAUUCACAUCGAAAACUGUGUCCACAUCAGUACAAACACAAUCUAUUCCUCCCACAAUGGAAUCAUCCAGCAACAACAGCUACACAAAAUACACCACCACAGGUUAUGGUUGCAACCACACAAUCAGCAACUUCAACAGGAGCUGCACCAUCUGCGACAACCAAAUUGGGGACUUCACAAACAUCAACAACAGCAGCAUUAACAACAGCGCAACCCACGGUUGCAGGACAAACUGCAGAGUCAACGGCAAACAAAACACCCAAUUCCCUGGAUGCAUCAACUCUAAAUCCCAUUGAAGCCAACAUAACACAACAGCAAGUUGAUCCUAACUCUGUUCCUUUUUCUCGAGGAAAUAUAGUUUUUUUCAACCAUACCCCCGAAAUUGCUGCUGUCAGGCCGCUUGACUUUGGUUACCCAUCUGUCAUCUGGACCACAUUCCAAGUUACAAGCCAGUCAGACCAGAACGACACAAAUCAGGUACCUAUACUUUUAGGCAGUAGUUUCAAAUCUUGGGAAACUCUCUUUUUUGAGAGAGGGAGUGUUAAAUGAGUAGACUAACCUCCCCCUCAUAUUUUGAAUGCUUCAGCCUGUACGCGAUAAAUUUAACAUAAAGGAAGGCUAUGUCCAAUUGAAGCAAAAUUUGUCAACUUAAUUGUUAUAUCUUGUUUGUUCUUGAAGGAUAAAGUGCCUUUCCGUCACUUUGUGUGGUAAGUGAUUGGUAGUAAUUAGUACUGGGAGGCAUAUGUCGCCUCAUAUUUAAGCAUACUUUCCCAACAUUUUGAACUGUUAUUUUACGCCAUUAUAUUCAUUAACAAAUUUAUAAAUCUCUUGGAAUGUCUAAACAACGUGCUUUGUGUUGAUGCCUCGUUUGUGUUUUGUCAGAUCCUCUCCACAGUAAAUUAUCUUUUUCUUUCAACUCCACAGAUUCCUACAUUUCCCCCCACAAGUGUGAACAAUGGUUAAUGGACUUGCCGUUUAAAAGAUCCAACCACUCAAAGAACUUUACAGUACAUGUCUACAUUGACCCUUUCAGGCUCACGUUCAUGUCAUGCAAAGUCAAAGGCCAUCACGAUCUAAUCUAGAUAACAUUGAUAUUGUACACCCUGAUGGCAAGUUGGCAGCAUUUUGGCAUUCAGUCUCCUUCCCAAGGGCCGGAGGAGCUGGGAAUUGAAUCGGCGAUGAUCAAAUUAGAAGAAACUGAUGGCUGGAAAUCCUGAGUUUAAGUCCAGACAAACCCUCACUUAUGUCAUACUUCAGAAGAAUGUUCGCCAACACCGAUGGAUUUCCCGAGAAAAAUGAGCACAUCCCAAAAACAAUCAUAAUAAAUCAAAUGGACGUGAACACAUGUUUCAACUUGCUAGCUUACAUCGUAGACUAAGCAGAUAUCAUGUAUAUAACGUCACUGAUACACGUCUACACAGCUUCUCACGCUGAAUGUGAGUCGUCUUUGUUCAGCUAGUUAUAGCUCAUAUUGGUGGUGGUUUGGUCAGUUAGACCCUCACUGGUCUCUUCUGUCUGUGCGUCCUAAAAGUUACACAAAUUAAUAUUCUAAAUACAUGCUCAUAGCAAAGUGUACACAUUUUCAAAGUUUUUUUCCGUGGUAUUUAAUUGUUGUUGUGUUUGUUUCUGGGUUUUAUUGCCACCUAAUUUUUGAGGUCAAUUAACACUUUCAACUUAUUUCUGUUGUGACAUUGAUACCUUUGUAACAAAUAAAUUAGAUGUCAGUAGAAUUUUCUCUCCUGUCGAGUUUUGUUCAUUGUUCAUUUAUAUUGGCCCUUGGUGCACAGAUUAUUCUGUCAAUACAGAAAGUAAAAUUGUGUACCAAAACUACACUUACA
ensembl:lncRNA